GACGAACGCUGGCGGCGUGCCUAAUACAUGCAAGUAGAACGCUGAAGAGAGGAGCUUGCUCUUCUUGGAUGAGUUGCGAACGGGUGAGUAACGCGUAGGUAACCUGCCUUGUAGCGGGGGAUAACUAUUGGAAACGAUAGCUAAUACCGCAUAACAAUGGAUGACACAUGUCAUUUAUUUGAAAGGGGCAAUUGCUCCACUACAAGAUGGACCUGCGUUGUAUUAGCUAGUAGGUGAGGUAACGGCUCACCUAGGCGACGAUACAUAGCCGACCUGAGAGGGUGAUCGGCCACACUGGGACUGAGACACGGCCCAGACUCCUACGGGAGGCAGCAGUAGGGAAUCUUCGGCAAUGGGGGCAACCCUGACCGAGCAACGCCGCGUGAGUGAAGAAGGUUUUCGGAUCGUAAAGCUCUGUUGUAAGUCAAGAACGAGUGUGAGAGUGGAAAGUUCACACUGUGACGGUAGCUUACCAGAAAGGGACGGCUAACUACGUGCCAGCAGCCGCGGUAAUACGUAGGUCCCGAGCGUUGUCCGGAUUUAUUGGGCGUAAAGCGAGCGCAGGCGGUUUGAUAAGUCUGAAGUUAAAGGCUGUGGCUCAACCAUAGUUCGCUUUGGAAACUGUCAAACUUGAGUGCAGAAGGGGAGAGUGGAAUUCCAUGUGUAGCGGUGAAAUGCGUAGAUAUAUGGAGGAACACCGGUGGCGAAAGCGGCUCUCUGGUCUGUAACUGACGCUGAGGCUCGAAAGCGUGGGGAGCGAACAGGAUUAGAUACCCUGGUAGUCCACGCCGUAAACGAUGAGUGCUAGGUGUUGGAUCCUUUCCGGGAUUCAGUGCCGCAGCUAACGCAUUAAGCACUCCGCCUGGGGAGUACGACCGCAAGGUUGAAACUCAAAGGAAUUGACGGGGGCCCGCACAAGCGGUGGAGCAUGUGGUUUAAUUCGAAGCAACGCGAAGAACCUUACCAGGUCUUGACAUCCCGAUGCUAUUUCUAGAGAUAGAAAGUUACUUCGGUACAUCGGUGACAGGUGGUGCAUGGUUGUCGUCAGCUCGUGUCGUGAGAUGUUGGGUUAAGUCCCGCAACGAGCGCAACCCCUAUUGUUAGUUGCCAUCAUUCAGUUGGGCACUCUAGCGAGACUGCCGGUAAUAAACCGGAGGAAGGUGGGGAUGACGUCAAAUCAUCAUGCCCCUUAUGACCUGGGCUACACACGUGCUACAAUGGUUGGUACAACGAGUUGCGAGUCGGUGACGGCAAGCUAAUCUCUUAAAGCCAAUCUCAGUUCGGAUUGUAGGCUGCAACUCGCCUACAUGAAGUCGGAAUCGCUAGUAAUCGCGGAUCAGCACGCCGCGGUGAAUACGUUCCCGGGCCUUGUACACACCGCCCGUCACACCACGAGAGUUUGUAACACCCGAAGUCGGUGAGGUAACCUUUUGGAGCCAGCCGCCUAAGGUGGGAU
rnacentral:rRNA from 1 species